rnacentral:rRNA from 1 species
AGAGUUUGAUUAUGGCUCAGAACGAACGCUGGUGGCGUGUCUUAUACAUGCAAGUCGAGCGAGGCAGCAAUGCCGAGCGGCGAACGGGUGAGUAACGCGUAAGCAAUCUGCCCCAUAUCAGGAAAUACCCGUGCCAACGCGCGGUUAAUGUCCAGGAGAGUGGCCCUCUGCAUGGAGGGUUGACUAGAGAUUUGUCGGUAUGGGAUGAGCUUGCGUCCGAUUAGCUAGUUGGCGGGGCAACGGCCCACCAAGGCGACGAUCGGUAGCCGGCCUGAGAGGGUGAUCGGCCACAUUGGGACUGAGAUACGGCCCAGACUCCUACGGGAGGCAGCAGUAGGGAAUAUUGCACAAUGGGGGAAACCCUGAUGCAGCAACGCCACGUGUGGGAAGAAGCAUUUCGGUGUGUAAACCACUGUCAUGAGGGAAUAAGGCCCGCCUUCGGACGGGAUUGAAUGUACCUUGAGAGGAAGCACCGGCAAACUUCGUGCCAGCAGCCGC